rnacentral:rRNA from 1 species
GUGCCAGCCGCCGCGGUAAUACGUAGGGUCCGAGCGUUGUCCGGAGUUACUGGGCGUAAAGCGCGCGCAGGCGGCUGACUAAGUCUGACGUGAAAGCCCCCGGCUCAACCGGGGAGGGUCGUUGGAGACUGGUUGGCUUGAGGGCGGUAGGGGCUGGUGGAAUUCCCGGUGUAGUGGUGAAAUGCGUAGAGAUCGGGAGGAACACCUGUGGCGAAGGCGGCCAGCUGGGCCGACCCUGACGCUGAGGCGCGAAGGCGUGGGGAGCGAACGGGAUUAGAUACCCUGGUAGUCC